rnacentral:rRNA from 1 species
AACACCCAGGGGGGGAAGGGGGGCCCCCCCUGGGGCUGGGUAACUGGCCACCUGAGGGGGCGAAAAGGGUGGGGGAGCAAAACCAGGGAUUAGAGACCCCUGGGUUGUUCCCCGCCCGUAAAACGAUGUCCAAAUAACCGUGGGUUCCCUUGAGAAUUUUAGUGGGGCAGCUAAACCCCAUUAAAGUUGGCCCCCCCGGGGAGGUCGGCCGCAAGGGUUAAAAACUCAAAUGAAUUGACGGGGGGCCCGCACAAGCGGUGGAGCCAUGUGGUUUAAUUUGAAGCAACGCGGAAGAACCUUACCUGGCCUUGACAUGGUGAGAACUUUCCAGAGAUGGAUUGGUGCCUUCGGGAACUCCGACACAGGUGCUGCAUGGCUGUUGUCAGCUCGUGUUGUGAGAAGUUGGGUUAAGUCCCGUAACGAGCGCAACCCUUGUCCUUAGUUACCAGCACGUAAUGGUGGGCACUCUAAGGAGACUGCCGGUGACAAACCGGAGGAAGGUGGGGAUGACGUCAAGUCAUCAUGGCCCUUACGGCCAGGGCUACACACGUGCUACAAUGGUCGGUACAAAGGGUUGCCAAGCCGCGAGGUGGAGCUAAUCCCAUAAAACCGAUCGUAGUCCGGAUCGCAGUCUGCAACUCGACUGCGUGAAGUCGGAAUCGCUAGUAAUCGUGAAUCAGAAUGUCACGGUGAAUACGUUCCCGGGCCUUGUACACACCGCCCGUCACACCAUGGGAGUGGGUUGCUCCAGAAGUAGCUAGUCUAACCUUACAGGGGGACGGUACCACGGAGCGAUUCAGGGGAAAACAAAAAGAUAGUCCC